GCUGGGCAUGGUGGCGUGUGCCUGUAAUCCUAGCUACUCGGGAGGCUGAGGCACGAGAAUCACUUGAACCUGGGAGGCGGAGGUUGCAGUGAGCCAAGAUCGCACCACUGCACCCCAGCCUGGGUAACAAAGUGAGACUCUGUCUCAA
rnacentral:SRP_RNA from 1 species